GUGUCUUUGAAUACCGCAGAAACUGAGUGGCUUCUUGCUGCAGAAUAGAAUAUGGAAAGUACUGAAAGCUGUCUGUGGUGUGAUAUGGCUGAGAUCCAUGUACAAACGUACAGGAAGGAUUGCUUCUCCUGGAAGGUUGCUUUACCUAGCCCCACUGUUACUAUUCAUAUGCACAUAAGACUUGAAAAUUUAGCAUCAAGGGUCUAACCCAAUUUCUACUGUAGUCCAGACUACUUUUCUGCUUGGGAUUACAUCCCAGUAGCUUAAGAAAGUAUACCCUGUCAUGGUUUAUUGCUGUAGUUUAAAAAUAUUUGAAUGGUUGUUGGAUCUUGAGUUCUAUGACCUGAUCUGAUAAAGUUGAGUUCUAUGAUCUGAUA
rnacentral:lncRNA from 1 species